AGUGUAGUGUGGCGCCUUUGUGUCGGGCGUCACACAAAAAGAUCAGCCGCGUGAAAUAGUUUCAUGAGCAGUUCAUUCUCUGAUUUGAUUUCGUCUACAUGUCAAAUUUAUCAAAUUUGCCCUUAAAUCGUGGGCAUCACACCAUCUUAUCCCUAUCCACUCUUAAGAUAUUUUGGCUUUCUUUCCUCUCGAUUUCUCUCCAUCUCUCUGGAAGGCUCCCAUCAAAUCCGUGCACGGCUCAACCACCGUUCCGCCACCGUAUGAGCCUAUAAAAACUGCUCUUCCCGUCGCUUGCUCCCAGCACAUCGUCGCUCGACAUGCAUGUUUCUAUGUCGCCAUUCGUCGCUCGGCCGCCAUCAUCCGCCUUCGUCAAGGCCAGGCCACUGGCGUGCGCCAUCAGGGCACGGGCGUGGCUGCGGCGAGCCUCCACUAGGCCGCGUAUUGGGGAGGAGCUGAAUCGCCAUCGCCACCAUACCGAGGUUGCCGCUACUGCUCAUGGGGAUCUCCAUUGCCACAAGACCGAGGCAUCCUCUGGUGGAGCGGCGGACACCACAGAGCAGCGGUGGCCCGCCCAACCUGCCGCCGCUUCGAGGUCACUGCUGCUGUGUCGACCUCGCGCCUGCCGUUGGCACCUUGAAGUCUCCGGUCCACGUCUUUGCUCAGGGAAACUGUCGCCUCGGGUAGGUUAGCGCUGAAGGCAAUGCGAGGAGGUUCUCUCUGCCCUCGGCUGAACUCCUCGAUGGCGAGCGCGCAAAGGUUGUGUGCUCAUCCCUCUCUUGGUUAUGUACCUUGCUGCCCGCGUGUGUGCUCCCGCAUCCUGCUGUUGCGUCAUCUGCAUGCGCAGGAGCAGUAGUAUGCUGCUGCUGUGUGGUGGGCAUGUGCACUUGGUCCGUGUGUGUGCUAGCUAGGUGAGGGUCACUGCUCUCUCUAUAACUUUUUACAAAGAAACCUCCACUCUCCAUCAUGCAUAUCUCCGCAGGUAGGCAGACGCUUCCAAGAUCAAGAGAAAAGGUCCUUGGAUGAAUAGCUUUUGCUUUUGGUGACAUGUGAUGUGAUUUGUUGUGACACUUCAGCUAUGGAGAUCUGUCCGGACGGUCUUCUGUCCUACCUCUGAAUCGAGGAUAUACUGUCGCUGUAUAUGAAGUGUAAAUAUUCAGAUAUGUAAGCUGCCUCCUAACUUCUCUUUACAGAUUUAUUAUCUAUGAAAUGCAUGCAAGCAAGUCCUAUCUUACAGACAAUUACUCCCUUAUAGAUAAAUCCGUUGAUUCAUAAAUUAAUUGGCCGGUGAUCGGUAGAUAGUCAAGUGGAUUGAUACCUGGAGUUUAGAGCUCAAAGUCCUUCUAACUUCUCUAUUUGGCUGUAUUUUCUUGACAGCUUUGAGAGAAGAAGUACUGUUGGUCAUUCCUAACAUGUAUAUUUUAAAUACUAGAGAAGUGAAUUGAUAGUUCAUUCAGUAGAGUAUUAGUAGAUGAUGAUUUCUUUUCUUUGCAUUCAACUGGUGUAUAUCCUGAUAUGUUUAGUCCGUUCCCAAAAUAAUUUGUGAAGUAGCCUUAAUAAUUAUACACCUUCUCUGUGUAUUAGUACUCAGUUUUUUGGGGAGCUGGAAGAAGCCAGCUUAUCAUAAUAUGUGAAAAUGAAUUUAUUUA